CCCAUUUUAAAAAUCUUCAGUGAGCCUUUUGCUAAUGACUUGAGUCAUCAAGAAAGCACAGUAAAAAAUAUAACUUUUGGGAGGAAUGGCAACAGGUUAUUUGACUUCCACUGGUGGUUUAACAAGG
rnacentral:snoRNA from 1 species